rnacentral:rRNA from 1 species
AGAUUGAACGCUGGCGGCAGGCCUAACACAUGCAAGUCGAGCGGCAGCACGGGUACUUGUACCUGGUGGCGAGCGGCGGACGGGUGAGUAAUGCCUAGGAAUCUGCCUGAGUAGUGGGGGAUAACGCGUCGGAAACGGACGCUAAUACCGCAUACGUCCUACGGGAGAAAGCAGGGGACCUUCGGGCCUUGCGCUAUCAGAUGAGCCUAGGUCGGAUUAGCUAGUUGGUGGGUAAUGGCUCACCAAGGCGACGAUCCGUAACUGGUCUGAGAGGAUGAUCAGUCACACUGGAACUGAAGACCACGGUCCAGACUCCGUACGGGAGCAGCGAGGUGGGAAUAGUUGGACGAAGUGGGACGAAGCCUAGA